AGAAUCAACGCUGGCGGCGUGCCUAACACAUGCAAGUCGAACGAGAAAGGGAUUUCGGUCCUGAGUAAAGUGGCGCACGGGUGAGUAACACGUGACUAACCUACCCUUGAGUGGGGAAUAACUUCGAGAAAUCGAGGCUAAUUCCGCAUAAUACCUACGGGUCAAAGGAGCAAUUCGCUUAAGGAGGGGGUCGCGGCAGAUUAGCUAGUUGGCGGGGUAAUGGCCCACCAAGGCAGUGAUCUGUA
rnacentral:rRNA from 1 species